rnacentral:lncRNA from 1 species
GAGCCAAUAUAUGAAGUAAAAAGAAAAAGUUAAAAGCAACUAUAAUUGCACAUUAGGAGAGUAUGAUCACUAACAUUUUAGUAACUUGCUAGGGAGGCAGUGUUGCAAUAACUUCAUUCUUUUUGUAGCUAUUACUCCAAUGAGGGAAUUUUAAAAAUACCUAAUGGGUCGUUACUGGUGAAUAAAAUAUAUAUGCUCUUCCUCAUUAAAGUCUCAGUUUCUUUUUUAUCUAUUCUAUGCAGGCAUUAUCUUUUUUUCUAUUCUGUGCAGGCUUCUUCAUUCUUAUUCUCCAGAAUAAUUUGUCGUUCGUUCUGAUUUUAUCUUUCCCUUGGAGUAUCUGCCAUAUUACUCUUAUUAUGCUG